CAGCAGCCGCGGUAAUACGAGUGCCCCGAGCGUUAUCCGGAUUUAUUGGGCGUAAAGCGUCCGCAGGUGGUUUUUUAAGUCUUGCCUCAAAUCUUGAUGCUCAACAUUAAGGCUGGGUAAGAAACUGAAUUACUAGAGAGUGGGAGAGGUCAGUAGAAUGGCUGGUGUAGGGGUUAAAUCCGUUAAUAUCAGCUGGAAUACCAAAAGCGAAGGCAGCUGACUGGGACAUUUCUGACACUCAUGGACGAAAGCGUGGGGAGCGAACGGGAUUAGAUACCCCGGUAGUCCACGCCGUAAACGAUGGAUACUAGGCAUUGGCAGUAUCGACCCUGUCAGUGUCGCUUCUAAAAAAGUUAACACCUUAAGUAUCCCGCCUGGGGAGUACGGUCGCAAGACUAAAACUCAAAGGAAUAGACGGGGACCCGCACAAGCGGUGGAUCACGCGGUUUAAUUCGAUGAUAAGCGAAAAACCUCACCAAAACUUGACAUCUAGCCUAUGUUGGACUGGAAACAGAUCAUCUUAGUGGCUAUGACAGGUGCUGCAUGGUUGUCGUCAGCAUGUGGUGUGAACUGCACCCUUAAUUGGGGUAACAUGCGCAACCCCUAUGUUAUGUUAAAUUGUACAUGACAGACUGCCUGGGUUAACCAGGAGGAAGGUGGGGACGACGUCAAAUCAGCAUGGCUCUUACGUUUUGGGCUACACGCGUGAUACAAUGGCCGGUACAAAGGGUUGCCAACCCGCGAGGGGGAGCCAAUCCCAUCAAAACCGGUCCCAGUUCGGAUUGGAGUCUGAAACUCGACUCCAUGAAGUCGGAAUCGCUAGUAAAUGCAUAUCAAUACGGUGCAUUGAAUACGUUCUCGGGUCUUGUACUCACUGCCCGUCACACCAAGGAAGUCGGUAAUGCCCGAAGUUCCUCGUUCGAGGUUCGAAGGUAGGACUGGUGACAGGGGUGAAGUCGUAACAAGGUAGCCGUA
rnacentral:rRNA from 1 species